rnacentral:tRNA from 1 species
AUUUUUCUAGUAUAAAAGUACAUUUGACUUCCAAUCAAAAGGCUUGAUUAAUAAUCAAGAAAAAUA